rnacentral:lncRNA from 1 species
UGGCACGCCUUGUACCGCCUUGACUCGCCUUAACCAGCCUUAACCCUCCUGGGCCCGCAUAUGGCAGGCAAAGAGCCGCCAUAACCCUCUUGGGGCCGCCAAGGGGCCUCAUAGGCUCGCCUAAGGUAGCCAAGGGGCCGCCUUAACCUACCUAGGGACGCCAAGCGGCCGCUUUUACCCGCCUUUACCGUCAUAGGGCCGCUAAUCUGGUGCCUUGACCUGUCUAGUGCUUCCAAGCGGCCGCCUUGACCCCCUUAGGCCGCCUUGACCCGCCUUAAUGCGCCUUGACCCUUCUAGGCUCGCCUAGGGUAGCCAAGGGCCGCCUUAGACCGCUUUGACCACCCUUGGACCGUCUUAACCUGACUUGGGCCGCCUUAACGCUCCUAGGCUCACAUAGGGUAGCCAAAGGGCCGCCUUGACCCGCCUUAACCAUCAUAGGGCUGCAAUAAUGUGCCUUGACCAGUCUUGGGCCGCCAAGGGGCUGUCAUGACCCUCCUAGGGCCGCCAAUGGGCCGCCUUAACCUAUUAGGGCUGCCAUGACCCUCCUAGGGCCUCGAAGGGGCUGCCUUAACCUCCUAGGGCCGCUAAGGGGCCGUCAUGACUCGCCUUGGACCACCUUAACCCUCUUUGGACAGCCUUAACCUGCCUUGGGCCACCAAGGAGCCGUCAUGACCCUCCUGGAGCCACCAAGGGGUAGUAAAGGGGCCGCCAUGACCUACCUUGGGCCGUCAAGCGGGCACCUUGACCCGCCUUGAGCCCCCUUAACCCUCAUAGGGACGCCGAUAAGGUGCCUUGACUCGUAUAGGGCCGCCAAUAGGGCGCCUUGACCCAUCUAGGGCCGCCUUGACCCGGCUAAGGUUGCCAAGGGGCCUUUUAGGCUGGCCUAAGGUAGCCAAGGGGCCGCAUUGACCUACCUAGGGCCGCCACGCGGCCGCUUUGAUCCACCUUGACUGUCAUAGGGCCGCCAAUAAUGUGCCUUGACCUGCCUAGUGCUUCCGAGCGGCCGCCUUGGCCGUCUUGACCCACCAUAACCCGCUUUGGGCCGCCUUAACCCUCUUAGGCUCGCAUAAGGUAGCCAAGGGGCCGCCUUGACCUGCCUAGGGCCCUCAAGGGCUCGCCUUGACCUGCCUAGGGUCGCCAAGGGCUCGCCUUGACCCGCCUUGGGCCGCCUUAAUCCGUCUUGGACCGCCUUGACCCGCCUAAGUCCGCCUUAGCCUUCCUGAGCCCCUCGAGGGCAGCUAAAGAGCCGCCAUGAUCCUCCUGGGGCCGCCAAGGGGCCUCCUAGGGUAGCCAAGCAGCCGCCAUGACCCGCCUUGACCAUCAUAGGGCUGCCAAUAGGGUGCCUUGACCUGUCUAGGGCCACUAAGGGGCUGCAUGACCCUCCUAGGGUAGCAAAGGGGCCGCCUUAACCCGCUUUGGACCGCCUUGACUCGCCUGGGCCAGCCUAGGGUAGCCAAGGAGCUGCCAUAACCCUCCUGGGGCCGCCAAGGAGGCCUCAUAAGCUCGCCUAAGGUAGCCAAAGGGCCGCCUUGACCUACCUAGGGCCGCUAAACGGCCGCCUUUACCCGCCUUGGGCCGCCUUAACCCUCAUAGGGCGGACAAUAAGGUGCCUUGACCCUUCUAGGGUUGCCAAUAUGGCGCCUUGACCCAUUUUAGGCCGCCAAGGGGCCGCCUUGACCUAUCUAAGGCCGCCAAUAGUUGCCUUGACCCGUCUAGGGCCAUAAAGGGGCUGCCAUGACCCUCCUAGGGCCGCCAAGGGACCGCCCUGACCUGCCUUGGGCCGCCUUGGACCGCCUUGACCCUUUUUGGACCGCCUUGACCCGCCUUAGGCUGCCUUAACCUGCCUUGGACCACCUUAACCCUCCUGAGCUCACCUAGGACAGCUAAGGAGCCACCAUGACCCUCCUAGGGCCGCCAAUGGGCCGCCUUGUCCUGCCUAGGGCCUCCAAGGAGUUGCCUUGGGCCGCCUUAACUUGCCAUGGACUGGCUUAACCCUCUUAGGCCCGCCUAGGGCAGACAAAUAGCCGCCAUGACCCUACUAGGGCCGCCAAGGGGCCUUCUAGGCUUGCCUAGGGUAGCCUUGACCUACUUAGGGCCGCCAAACCCACGAUGACCCGCCUUAACCGAUAUAGGGUCGCUAAUAGGGUACCUUGACCCAUGUAGGGCCACCAAGGGAUUACCAUGACCCUCUUAGGGCCGCCAAGGGGCCGCGUUAACCUCCUAGGGCAGCCAAGGGGCCGCCUUGACCAGCCUUGGCAUGCCUUAGACCGCCUUGACCCACCUUAGAUCGUUUUGACCUGCCUUAGGCUGCUUUAAUCCGCCUUGGGCCGCCUUAACCCUCCUGGGCUUGCCUAGGGCAGGCAAGGAGCGGCAUGACCCUUCAGGGGCCGCCAAGAAGCCUCAUAGGCACACCUAGGGUAGGCAAGGGGCCGCCUUGACCUACCUAGGGCCUCCAAGCGGCAGCCUUGACCCUCUCUGGGCCGUCUUGGCCCUCUCUGGGCCGUCUUGGCCGUCCUAGGGCCGCCAAUAAGGUGCCUUGACCUGCCUAGUGCUUCCAAACGACCGCGUUGACCCGUCUUAACCCGCCUUGACCCUCCUAGGCCCUCCUAGGCUCACCUAGGGUAGCAAAAGGGUCGUCUUAACCUGCCUAGGGCCGCCAAGGGGCCGCCUUGAGCCACCUUGGCACGCGUUAGACCGCUUUGACCCCUUUGGGCCGCCUUAACGCUCAUGGGCUCGCCUAAGGUAGCCAAGGAGACGCCAUGACCCUCUUAGGGCCGCAAAGAGGCCUCCUUGGCUUGCCUAGGGCAGCUAAGGAGCCGCCAUGACCCUCCUAGGGCCGCAAAAGGGCCUCCUAAGACCGCCUAGGGUAUGCAAAAGGGCUGCUUUGACCUACCUAAGGCAGCAAAGCGGCCGCCAUGACCUGCCUUGACCCUCAUAGGGUUGCCAAUAGGGUGCCUUAACCCUUCUAGGGCCACCAAAGGGCUGUCUUGACCCUCCUAGGGCUGUCAAGGGGCCGCCUUAACCAUCUAGGGCCGCCAAGGGGCCACCUUGAGCCGCCUUAGACCCCUUUGACCCGCUUUGGACCGCCUUAACCCGCUUGGGCCAGCUUAAGGUAGCUAAGGGGCCUCUUAGGCUCGUCUAAGGUAGCCAAGGAGCCGCCAUAACCUUCUUUGGGCCGCAAAGGGGCAUCCUAAGCUCGCCUAGGGUAGCCAAGAGGCCGCCUUGACCUACCUAGGGCCGCGAAACAGUCGCCUUGACCCGCCUCGUGCCUCCUUAACCCUCAUAGGGCCGGCAAUAAGGUGCCUUGACCAAUCUAGGGCCGCCAAAGGGCCUCCUAGGCACGCUUAGGGUAGCCAAAGGGCCGCCUUGACCUACUUAGGGCAGCCAAGCGGCCACCAUGACCUGCUUUGGGUCGCCUUGACCCUUAUAUGGCCGCUAAUAGGGUGCCUUGACCUGUCUAGGGCCACCAAAGGGCUGCCAUGAUCCUCCUAGGGACUCCAAGGGGCCACCUUAUCCUCCUAGGGUCGUUAAGGGGCCGCUAUGACUCGCUUUGGGACGCCUUGACCCUCUUUGGACCGCCUUGGGCCUCCAAGGAGCCGUCAUGACCCUCCUGGAGACGCCAAGGGGUAGCAAAGGGGCCACCAUGACCUACCUUAGGCCGUGAAACGGCCGCCUUGACCCGCCUUGGGCCCCCUUAACCCUCAUAGAGCCGCUAAUAAGGUGCCUUGACCCAUCUAGGGCCGUCAAGGAGCCGCCUUAACCCUCUUGGGCCCGUAUAGAGCAGCCAAGGAGCCGCCAUAACCUUCUUGGGGCCGUCAAGGGGCCUCCUAGACUCGCCUAAGGUAGCCAAGGGGCCUCAUUAACCUACAUAGGGCCGCUAAGCGGUCGCUUUGACCCGCCUUGACCGUUAUAGGGCCGCCAAUAAUGUGCCUUGACCUGCCUAGUGCUUCCGAGCGGCCGCCUUGACCCCCUUUAGGCCGCUUUGACCCUUCGAGGCCCUCCUAGGCUUGCCUAGGGUAACCAAGGGGCCGCCUUGAUCUGCCUAGGGCCACCAAGGGGCAGCCUUGGACCGCUUUGACCCGCUUUCGGCCGCCUUAACACUCGUGGGGCCGCCUAGUGCAGCCAAGAGCCGCCAUGACCCUCUUAGGGCCGCGAAGGGGCCUCCUAGGGUCACCUAGGGUAGCCAAGGGGCCGUCUUGACCUACCUAGGGCCGCCAAGCGGCCGCCUUGAACCUCUUUGGGCUGCCUUGACCGUCAUAGGGCCGCCAAUAAGGUGCCUUGACCUUCCUAGUGCUUCCAAGCGUUCGCCUUGACCCGCCUUAACCCGCUUUGACCCUCUUGGCUCGUCUAGGGCCAUCAAAGGGCUGCCAUGACCCUCUUAGGGCUGCCAAGGGGCCGUCUUGACCUGUCUUGGGCCGCCUUGGACAGUCUUGACCAGCUUUGGACUGCCUUGACCCGCCUUGGGCCGCCUUAACCCGCUUGGGCCCGCCUAGGGCAGCCAAGGAGCCGUUAUUAUGACCUAUCUCGGGGUGUUAAGAAGCCGCCUUGACCCACCAUGGGCCACCUUAACACUCAUAGGGCAGCCAAUAAGGUACCUUGACCCAUCUAGGGCCGCCAAUAAGGCGCCUUGACCCAUCUAGAGAUGCCAAGGGGCCGCCUUGACCCGCCUUGGACCUCGUUGACCCCCUUGGGCCGCCUUAACCUGUUUUGGGCCGCCUUAACCCUUUUGGGCCCGCAUGGGGUAGCCAAGGAGCCGCCAUGAACCUCUUGGGGUUGCCAAGGGGCCUUGACCGUCAUAGGGCCGCCAAUAAGAUGCUUGACCUACCUAGUGUUUCCAAGCGGCCGCCUUGACCCUCCUAGGCUCGCCUAGGGUAGCAAAAGGGCCGCCUUGACUUGCCUAAAGCAGCCAAGUGGCCGUCUUCACUCGCCUUAACCCUCCUAGGCCCUCCUAGGGCAGCCAAAAGGCCGCUAAGACGCCGCCUAGGGUCGCCGAGCGGUCGCCUUGACCUGUCUUGAUCCUCGUAGGGUUGCCAAUAGGGUGUCUUCGACCGCCUUAACCCGUCUAGGGCCACCAAAGGGCUGCCUUGACCCUGUUAGGGCCGCCAAGGGUCGCGUUCACCUGUUUAAGGCCGCCAAGGGCCGCCUUGACCUGCUAGCCAAGGGGCUGCCUUGACCCUCCUAGACCUGCCUAGGGCCGCCUUGACCCUCCUAGGCCCGUGUACGGCCGCUUUGACCCGUGUAUGGUUGUCUUGACCCGUGUAGGGCUACCUUGACCCGCCUAGGCUCGCCUAGGGUAGCCAAGGGGCCGUUUUAGGCUGUCAUGACCCGCCUUGGGCCGCCUUCGCACGCCUUGACCCACCGUGACCCUCCUAGAGCAGCUAAAGGGCCGCCUUAACCUCGUAGGGCCGCCAAGCGACAGCCUUGACCCUUCUUGACCAGCCUCGAGUCGCCUUGACCCUCCUAGGGUCGUCAAGUUGACCCGCCUUGACCCGUCUAGGGCCACCAAGAGGCAGCCUUGACCCCGCUAGGGCCGCCAAGGGGCCGCGUUCACCAUUAUAAGGCCGCCUUGAUCCGCCAAGGGAUGCCUUGACCCUCUUAGACUCGCCUAGCGCCACAUUGACCCUCCUAUGCCCUACCAAGCUCCCCUAGGGCCACCAAGGGUGUAACAUCAUGGAAUUCUGGAUUUCUAUUUUUAAAAGGAAAAUUAUUUUUCGAGAUAUUUUUAUUUCGAUUUCUAUUAUUAUUUCAAAUUCUUUGUGGCUUUCAAAUUUUUAGUUCGUCAAAUUUUGUCUUUUGAGCCUAUAGGAUUAAACUAGACGUCGUUACGAGUUCGUGGAAUUUUUUUAGAGCAUCGUUUGGACAUCUCGGAUCUAUUUUUAAUGAUUUUUGGAAGUUGGUAUUAUCCAAAAAUUUAAUUAAAAAUAGAAUUUUUGCUGACAUCUUCUGGGCCGUCUGAUCUACUAAACCGUUUAAUCAUAGUCGUUGGAUGGUGUAUAUACAUAGUGGAAAAGAGAAGGAGAUCAAAUCAGUUCAGACCCAGACCGGGUCUCUGCCGACCCGAAUAGCAGCGACAGGCGACCCGGUUGCCGCUCUGUCCUCCGGCGACGGCGAGGAGAAAGAAAGGUGGUGACAGCUUUGUCUCGACGUCCUGGUCUUCUCCAUGGUAUUUAUUUUCAGAGAUGAAGUCCGGUGAAGAAGAAGAAGAAGAAAGGCUGGGUUUGCCGGCCAACUUUGGAUUCCGGCCACAGCGGUGGGCAUGGAUGGUGUUGGUAGCUUUGUCUCGGUCUCGUCGACGUCCGGAUGCCUUCAGCUUGCAGAGAUGAGGUCCGGUGAGUGAGAAUCGAUGCAGAGGAGUGGUUUGAGUUUUCCGACGAGUUUCCAUGGUUUCCGGCGACAUCUGGUUUUGAUCAAGGUAUGAAACUUGGUCCAUUUGUCGAGCUCUACCUCUGUAUAUACUUUAAAUUGAGCUUGGUAGUGUUUGGAAGAAGUUGGAAUUUUGGCGGAGAGGACUGCCGUGAGUGCUGCUGUGCACGGCGGGUCGACGGCUGCAGUGAUGGUGCUUUUGUCUGUGUUUGCUGAUUUCCAGUGGUUAUGAAUCUCUACGCAUGCUUUUGAUUGUUAUAUGUAUUAGAAAUUUAGAGGCAUGGGAAGUGGAUGAUCGAAGGAUUGUGUUGUGUUGAUUGGAAUGAAGAACAAUGGUGUUCUUGUGUUCAUUUUUGAAUUCAAACUUGAGAUUGAAUUGAUUUGAGUGCUUGGAUUCCAGAAAUUGGAAAGUUGAGUGCUUUUUGUGUUUUGUUAGUAUGAAGGAGCAAUAGCAGUAUGCAAGUUUUUGUUAAUACAUACGUGUUAUGUAUUCAUCUUGUGUAGUUGUUAUGAAGAAUAGCAAGAUCGAUGGAUUUUGUAAUGAUGUAAACAUGCUUGCCGAAUUUGAGUUGUGGAUUGUGUGAAAAUGGUAAAAAGACAUUUUGUUGUGAAUUUGGGAUUUAAUUGAGGAUGCAUGGUAAUUGGAAGGUGUUCAAGACUCAAAGGCUUAGAGGGAAGGAUACAUUAUGGGUGUAUGGGAUUUUGGGUGUCCAAAGUCAUUCUGGAGGAGUUUAGAUGAGUGUUUGGAGCAUAGUUGGGAUACGCCGACAAAGUUAACUACAAAUGUAGAUUUAAAAGGUGGGGAUAAUGCGAAAUGAGUACAUAUGGUAUAUGGUUCGGAAUUUAUCAAAAAUGCGAGAGGAAUUGGAAAUAAGGAUUUGAGUGUCCUUAUCAAUUGCAAGGACUUGAUUUCAUUGACUUGAAAUGAUUCGUCGGCUACUUCAAAAAAUAAAGAUUUAGUACGAGGAUCCAAUGCAAGUCGUAGAAUUCCAAAAGCAGAAGGAUAAAGAUUUCAGAGAGCGUGUCGCUGAGUUACAAAUUUUAGUUAGCGUCAAAGUCAAAGCUCGAAUUCCAAGUAGGGUCUCUCUAUCGGGGAAUCUUUCUUUAAUUUGAUAAUUAGAGUAAUAAUUGAAAUGUGUGAUUUGUGUGCCAUUGAGUGAUUAACUCUUGGUUGUUAUUGUUUUUGUUAAAGCAUGUGUAAUCGUUGAGUUAUAUUAUCGAUGUUACUGUUUUCUGUAAAAAGCAUGUGUUGAAUGUUAUAUUACGCGCAUCGAUAUUUAAUUGCAUACAUAAUGCAUUGUGAGGAAUCGUGAGGAUAAUGAGAUUGGUGAUUAUGGAGAGGUGUGAAUGAGAUUAUUAGAAUAGAUACAUUUUGUGUAGUUGAGUUUCCUCAUGGGGACUUCCAGUAGCUAUGAUCAACCCACCUGCGCAAAUGAGUAGGGAAAGUAUGCCCUUUCGACGUAUGAGUCGAUAAAAUGAUCUUUCGGGUUUCGGGACUGGGGACCAUGAGGUUAACAAAAGACUAACAAAAGAGGUGCUGGAGUUUAUAUAUUACUGAUUUGUUAAGUCGUAUAUUCAAGACAUCUACAUGGUAUGGGACAUGUAGAUACAUAUGUCUCGGGUGUAUGGACUAAUUAGCCAGUAAUAGAGUGGAGGGAGUGCAUUGGCAUUUAUGCAUCGAUUUGUCGUUAUUUAUUUAAAGUAUUGUUCAAUAUGUGGUAACGUGAUUAUGCGGCGUAGUUAAGUAUAACCUAAAAAGGUUUGGCCCUACUGAGCGUAAACUCACCCCUAUAAACUUUUGUUCAGGUACGUACAAAAAACGUAUUUCGAGAAGUCUAACUGUGAAGUUUAGGAGACGUGUGCAAGAGUAGAAAAGAGCUAUGGAAGAUUAGAAGUGAGAUAGAUCGCAAGGGCUCAUCAUUUUGUCUUUGUAAUUGUUUUUGUUAUUGUAAACGUUUUAUUUUCUUUUAUUUUUUACAAUUUCUGGAAAAGUAUUUGAAAUUGUUUUAGUUUCUUUUAUUUUUCGCGCUCACGCCUUGGGUUCGGCGUCAGGUGAUUGGCGUCAGGUGCUUGGAAAUCACCGACACCGGGUCCGGGGUGUGACAAAAGGUCUGCAUGACUCGCCAAAGGGUCGCCAUGACCCGUGUAGGGCUGCCUUGAUCCGUGUAGGGCCGCCUUGACCCGCCUUGGGCCACCUUGACCCACCUAGGCUCGCCAAGGGUUGCCAAGAUGCCACCUUGACCUGCUUAGGAUCGCCGAGCGGCCGUCUUGACCCGCCUUAGGCUGCCAUGACCCUCAUAGGGCCGCCAAUAGGGCUCCUUAACCCAUAUAGGGCCACCAAGUUGCCGCCAUGACCCUCCUAGUCCCGUGUAGGGCUGUCUUGACCCGUGUAGGGCCGCCAUGACCCGCCUUGAUCCUCCUAGGCUCGCCAGGGGAAACCAAAGAGCCGCCUUGACCAGCUUGGCAGCCGCCUUUACCCGCCUUUACCUGCCUAGGGCCGCUAAACGGCCGCCUUGACCCACACUGGCCUACCUUGACCGCAUUGACCCACCUUGACCCGCCUAGAGCCGUCUUGACCCACCUUGGGCCGCCUUGACCCGUCUAGGGCCACCAAGGGGCCGCCUUAACCUUCUUAGGCCAUCCUAAGAUUGCCUAAGGCCACCAAGGGGUAGCCAUGACUCGCCAAAGGGUCGCCAUGACCCUCCUAGGCCCGUGUAGGGCCGCCUUGACCCGCCUUGGGUCGCCUUGACCCUCCUAGGGUAGUCAAGGGGCGGCUUUGAUCCUCCUAGAGCCGCCAAGAGGCCGCCUUGACCUGUCUAGGGCCAUCAUAGGGCCGCCUUGACCUCGCUAGGGCUGCCAAGGGGCCGCGUUCACUCAUCUAUGGCUACCAAUAGGCCACCUAUACCGGCCAUGGGCCUGCCUUGGCCCUCCUAGACCCGCCUAGGGCCGUCUUGACCCUCUUAGGCUCGCCUACCAUGACUCGCCAAGGGGUACCCUCUUAGGCCUGUGUAAGGCCGCCUUGACCCUCUUAGGCCCUCCUAGGCUCGCCUAGGGUAGCCAAGGGGCCGCCAAGCGACCACCUUGCAACCGCCUUGGACUUUCUUGACCUGCCUUAGGCCGCCAUCACUCGUCUUGGACUGCCUUAACCCUCAUGGGCUUGCCUAGGGCAGCCAAGGAGCCGCCAUGACCCUCCUGGGGCCGCCAAGGGGCCUCCUAGGCUUGCUUAGGGUAGCCAAGGGGCCGCCUUGACCCCGCCAAGGGACCCCCUUGACCCGCUUUGGACCGUCUUGACCCGCCUUAGGCCGCCUCCACUAGCCUUGGACUGCCUUAACCCUCAUGGGCUUGCCUAGGGCAGCCAAUGAGCCGCCAAGGGUCUUCCUAGGCUCGCUUAGGGUAGCCAAGGGGCCGCCUUAACCUGCCAAGGGAUGCAUUGACACUCCUAGACCCACCUAGGGCCGCCUUGACCCUCUUAGGCCCUCCUAGGCUCGCCAAGCGGCCGCCUUGGACCGUCUUGACCCGCCUUGGGCCGCCUUGACCAGCCUUAACGCUCAUGGGCUCGCUUAAGGCAGCCAAAAAGCAGCCAUGACCCUCUUAGGGCCGCCAAGGGGCCUCCUAGGCUCGUUUUUGACCCGCUUUGAACCUCCUAAACCCUCCUAGGCUCGCCUAAAGUAGCCAAGGGGCCGCCUUGUCCUGCCUAGUGCUUCCAAGCGGCCAACUUGACCCCCUUGGGCCGCCUUAACCCUAAACCUAAAACCUAAACCCUAAACCUCUUAGGCCCUGCUAGGCUCGCAUAGGGUAGCCAAGGGGCAGCUUUGACUUGCCUAGGGCCUCCAAGGGGUCGCCUUGACCCGCCAUGGGCCACCUUGGACCGUUAUGUCCCGCCUUGGACCGCUUUGGACCGCUUUAACCCUCAUGGGCUUGCCUAGGGCAGCCAAGGAGCCACCAUGACCCUCCUGGGGCCCCCAAGGAGCCGCCAUAACCCUCCUGGGGCCGCCAAGCUCGCCUAAGGUAGCCAAGGAGGCCUCCUAAGCUUGCCUAAGGUAGCCAAGGGGCCGCCUUGACCUACCUAGUGCCGUCUUGGACCGCCUUAACCCUCAUAGGGCCGCCAAGAAGGUGCCUUGACCCAUCUAGGGCCGCCAAUAGGUGCCUUGACCCGUCUAGGGCCACAAAGGGGCUUCUAUGACCCUCUUAGGGCCGCUAAGGGACCGCCUUGGACUGCCUUGGGCCGCCUUGACACGCCUUGGACCGCCUUGGCUUAGGCUGCCUUAACCCACCUUGGACCGCCUUAACCCUUCUGGGCUCGCCUAGGGCAGCCAAGGAGCCACCAUGACCCUCCUAGGGCCACCAAGGGGCCUCCUAGGCUCGCUUUUGACCCGCCUUAAUCCUCUUAGACCCUCCUAGGCUCGCCUAGAAUAGCCAAAUGGUCGCCUUGUCCUACCUAGUACUUCUAAGCGGUUGCCUUGACCCCCUUUGGGCAGCCUUAACCCUAAACCUAAACCUCCUAGGCCCUCCUAGGCUGGCAUAAGGUAGCCAAGGGGCCGCCUUAACCUGCCUAGGGCCUCUAAGGAGUCGCCUUAACCCGUUUUAACCCGCCAUGGACCGCCUAAACCCUCCUGGGCCCACGUAGGGCAACCAAAGAGCAGUCAUGACCCUGCUGGGGCCGCCAAGGGGCCGCCUUGACCUACUUAGGGCCCCCAAGCUGCCACCAUGACCCGCCUUGACCGUCAUAGGGCCGCUAAUAGGGUACCUUAACCCGUCUAGAGCCACCAAGGGACUGCCAUGACCCUUCUAGGCCCUCCUAGGCUUGCCUAGGGUAGCAAAGGGACCGCCUUAACCUGCCUUGGGCCGCAAAGGGACCGCCUUAACCUGCCUUGAGCCACCUUGGCACGCCUUAGACCACUUUGACCCCCUUGGGCCGCUUUAACCCUCCUGGGCUCGCCUAGGGCAACCAAGCAGCCGCUAUGACCCUCUUGGGGCCGCAAAGGGGCCUAUAGGCUUGCCUAGGGCAGCUAGCUAAGGAGCAGCCAUGACCCUCCUAAGGCCGCAAAAGGGCCUCCUAGGCUCGCCUAGGGUAUCCAAGGGGCCGCCUUGACCUACCUAAGACAGCAAAGUGACCGCCAUGACCCGCCUUGGGCCGCCUUGACCCUCAUAAGGCUGCCAAUAGGGUGCCUUGACCCGUCUAAAGCCACCAAGGGGCUGCCUCCUAAGGCCUACAAGGGGCCGCCUUAACCACCUAGGGCCGCCAAGGGGCCGCCUUAGACCGCCUUGACCCGCUUUGAACCGCCUAGGCCAACCUAAGGUAGCCAAGGGGCCGCCUUGACCUAUCUAGGGCCGCUAAGCGGCCGCCAUAACCCGCCUUUGGUCGCCUUGACCAUUAUAUUGCUGCAAUAGGGUGCCUUGACCCGUUUAGGGCCACUAAGAGGCUGCCAUGACCCUCCUAUGGCCGCUUUAACCUCUUAGGGCCGCCAAGGGACCGCCUUAACCUCUUAGGGCCACCAAGGGGCCGCCUUGACCCGUAUUGGACCGCUUUGACCCAUUUUGAACCGCCUUGACCCGCCUUGGGCCACCCGAGCCCGCCUAAGGCAGCUAAGGAGCCGCCAUAAACCUCCUUGGGUCGCCAAGGGGCCUCCUAAGCCAGCCUAGGGUAGCCAAGUGGUCGCCUUGACCCGCCUCGUGCCUCUUUUACCCUCAUAGGGCCGGCAAUAAGGUGCCUUGACCAAUCUAGGGCCGCCAAUAGAGCACCUUGACCCAUCUAGGGCCGCCUUGACCCAUUUAGGGCCACAAAGGGGCUGCCAUGUAGGGCCGCCGAGGGACCGGCUUGACCCUUCUUGGGCCGCCUUGGCACGCCUUGGACCGCUUUGACCCGCUUUGGAGCUCCUUAACCCGCUUUACGCCGCCUUGACCCGCUUUGAGCCGCCUUCACCCGCUUUGGACUGGCUUAACCCUCAUGGGCUCGCCUAGGGCAGCCAAGGAGCCACCAUGACCCUCCUUGGGCCGCCAAGGGGCCUCCUAGGCUCGCUUAGGGUAGCCAAGGGGCCGCCUUAACCCGCCAAGGGCUGCCUUGACCCUUUAAGACCACUAAGGGGCCGCCAUGACUCGCCAUGUGGUCGUCAUGACCCACCUAGACCAGUGUAGGGCCGUUUUGACCUGCCUUGGGCCGCCUUGAUCCUCCUAGGCCUUCCCAGGCUCGUCUAGAGUAGCCAAGGGGCCGCCUUGUCCUGCCUUGUGCUUCCAAGCGGCCGCCUUGACCCCCUUGGGCCGUCUUGAACCGCCUUAACCCGCCUAGGCCCUCCUAAGCUCGCAUAGGGUAGCCAAGGGGCCGCCUUGACCCAUUUGGGACGCCUUGGUAAGUCUUGGACCGCCUUAACCCUUCUAGGGCCGCCAAAGGGCCUCCUACCUAGGCUCGUCUCGGGUAGCCAAAGGGCUACCUUAACCUACCAAAGGCUGCCAAGCGGUCGUCUUAACCCUCAUAGGACCGACAAUAGGGUGCCUUGACCUACCUAGUGCUUCCAAGCAGCCGCCUGACCCGCCUUAACCCGCCAUGGGCCGCCUUGACUCUCCUAUGCCCUCCUAGGCUCGCCUAGGGUAGCAAAUGGUUCGCCUUAACCUGCCUAAGGCCGCCAAGGGGCCGCCUUGACCCGCCUUGGGCCACCUUGGAACACGUUAGACCGCCUUGACCCGCAUUGCACCGACCUAGUACGCGUUGGACCGUUUUGACCUGCCUUGACCCUCUUAGGCCCGCCUAGGACAGCCAAAGAGUCGCCAUGACCCUCCUGGGCCGCCAAGAGGCCUCCUAGGGUAGCCAAGGGGCCGCCAAGCGACCGCCAUGACCCGUCUUGACCCUUAUAGUGCCACCAAUAGGGUGCCUUGACCCAUCUAGGGCCACCAAAGGGUUGCCACGACCUUCCUAGUGCUGUCAAUGGGCCGUCUUAACCUCCUAGGAUCACCAAGUGGCCGCCUUGACCUGUUUUGGACCGCCUUGACCCACCUUGGGCCGCCUUAACACCCUUGGGCUCGCCUAGGGCAGCCAAGGAGCGGCAUGACCCUCNNNNN